ACAUGUCCGUAUGGCGAAGCGACAACGAAGGACACUCACCCGGACGAGAAUUUUAUUGAGUUUUAUUUUAAAAUCGGCCUGAAACACACAGACAUUCAAGCAGUGCGAUGCGCUAAGAGUCUGCCAUGCAGACCAGCGAUCCUGAUAAUGUUGUCGGCCUUGGAUGAUGAGGUCCAGUUACCAGGAGCACUAGUCUGCAGCUUACUGGUUCCGUCUUGCAGCUCCUCCACGCUGUCCUCCUCUCUACAGACCAAAUCAAGAAAAGGGAACCAGGAAGCUGCUGUGGAUCCUCUGCAGUAUCUGGAGAGGUCAGAGGAACGGUUCUUGGAACAGAUCGGAAGACACCAAGACGUGACCUCUGCCAUUCUCCAGAACAUCCAGAAGAUGAAUGAAAACCUUGGUUGCACUGAUGGGACGCAUGGUGUCGGUGCUGGAGCAACUGUCCCAGAAUUAAACUGCAUUGUUGACUAUUGGCUUUUCUAGAAAAUAAAUCUUUUUUAGUACUUCA